rnacentral:lncRNA from 1 species
ACUCACUCCUCCUCCGCCUCCAGCGCCACCUCGUAUCUCCUCAUUCCCGACAUGUCCUGGGCUCCGAACGUCUCCUGGGGAGCGGCAUGAUUGAAUCAGGGAUUCCCUAGCCCCAGGUCCCCUUCUCCGUCAUUCUCAGGACGAGGCUGCCCAGUUCUCAGGUAAUCUGAGGCUGAUGCCCCCGAGAAGCCUCAGUUGCCACCACGGGACAGGGUGGGCUUGGAGAUUUGGGAGGCACUGGAAGUUAAGGGGUGAGGAGGCCGGUCAUCUCCGGGGCCUGGGGCAUUUAGGGGGCCAGGGCGAGAGGUUUGGCGGUCAUGGGGCUGGGAGAUUUGGGGCCCUGGGUGAGGAUUUUCAGGGGCUGGGGUCACCUGGAGGGGGGGCUGAGAGGGGUCAGCGCAGCCUAAACUCCCGCCCUCCCUGGCUCCACCCCGGAAACGGACCGUUACUAUUACGUCACAGGGAUGCCGUUGCGCACUAGGUUUGCCUGUCCCCCGGAAGGGGUGGGGUGUUCAUGUCUCCCAGAGGAGGCGGAGUCGAAACGUCAUCUUACGGGGUGAGGCCAGGGGCGGGGUCGGUUGAUUAAGAUGCGGGCAAAGGACCCUCUUUUAUAGGUGUCAGGUCAGGUUUUGGAGCUACACCUUGGGGGGCCGAGGCUUCCGCAGCAGGCAGCAAGAAAAGAGAGUUGGGACUAAGUCCAGUACUGUUUUCUUAAUCCCCACGUCUCCUCUACCCCUCCCUGGGCUUCUGCCCUGCCGAGUGCCUCUCUUGCCUGCCUUCCUCCCCUUGUAUGACCCUGGGCCGAGGAGGAAUAGGUCCUCAGAUAGAGUCCAGUCUAGAAAAGGCCAGGCUACGGAAAUACCUAGUUGAGUGGCCUCGGCUAAGUCACUGAAUGGCCGGAGGGUCAUUGCCCUUCCUCUCUGGUCUGAGACCUAUCUUCUUGUGAUUUUUUUUUUUUUUUUUUGCUACAUUCAUUCAAUCAACAAAUAUUUGCUGAAUGACCACCUGUGUGUCAGGCACUGUGCUGGGCAUGGGGAUGUAGUAGUAAAGAAGACAGGUGGCCGGGCACGGUGGCUCACGCCUUUAAUCCCAGCACUUUGGGAGGCCGAGGUGGGUGGAUCACGAGUUCAGGAGUUCAAGACCAGCCUGGCCAAGAUGGUGAAACCCCGUCUCUACUAAAAAUACAAAAGUUAGCCGGGCGUGGUGGCAGGCGCCUGUAAUCCCAGCUACUCGGGAGGCUGAGGCAGAGAAUUGCUUGAAACUGGGAGGCGGAGGUUGCUGUGAGCUGAGAUCGCACCACUGCACUCCAGCCUGGGUGACAGAGUGAGACUCCGUCUCAAACAAAACAAAACAAAACAACCAACAAACAAGACAGGCACCUUGUCUGCCCUCUGAGAGGUAGGGGUAGAGCUGGGAGGAUCAAAAGAGAAUAGUGAGAUUCUUACUAUAAAUGGAGCAGGCUGGCUGGAAGAAGUAGAAGGUGUCAAGAAAGGGCAAUCAACCCAGUGUGGGAGGUUGGAAAUAGCUGCCCCAGAGCUCUGACAUCCCAGUCAAGGCCCAGUACUGAGCUGUAGUCGGUUUGAGUAAGGGGAAAGACAGUUUUGGGGCUGGGCUGACUGUAUAGGAGGGAGUGACCAGAAAUAAGUGGGGUGAAAGUUUCCUCUGGUUGAAAUGUGAGGAAUGGAUACCCCUCUUCUCUCCCUCAUCCCACCCUCUUUCUCCCUCUCAUUCUUGUCUUCCCUUGUCUGAGCCACAUACAGAGAGCAGACAGAGAGAUCCAUGGGUGCUAGGUGGUUUUAUUGGAAGCACUGCAGUCUGGGAGUUCAGAAGCUAUGCUUUCACCACGUUCACCCUUUCACUCACAUUCACACUCAUGUUGACACUCCAGGCCUGGCUGGGUCAGGUCUGGUGCCGAGGAACUAGAGGCCUGGUCUUCCCUUCUGGUCCUUGGUUCCCCAGGCCAGGGCUGUCUCUGGCACUGUCAUGGGCUAACUGCUGUGGCUCUUGCUCUGGGAAAGGAAGGAGAGGAAGGGCCAUGGGCUGUAAUCUUAGACAGGGCUCAGAGGGGGCAGACAGGACUGGGGAGGGCCAGGCUUUCCUUGGCAGAGGUCUUCCGCAGUCUCCAGUUUGUGCAAUCCAUCCAGGGCUGGUCUAGAGGCUGCCUUUCAGUGUGGUGAAUCUGGAGUCAGAGAGAAUGGAGCCAUAGAACUCAUCUUCCUGAAAGGCCCUGGUGUGAGGGGCAGAUGCUGGGGACCAGAUCUGGGAACCUGUUUUAGGGGCUUCCUUGUGGGAGGGAUUGGGCAAGGAGAAGUGAAGGAAGUAACAUGGUGAAUGGAGACCUGGAUGAUGGAGGAAGUGAUUGGGAGGGGAGGAGACUGGACAUUCUCCACCCCGACUCAUAGGACAAAGUGCCCUGCAGCCAUCCCUGAAGAGGAGGUAGCAGAAGGCACCAAAAAUGUUCCCAGGAAUUGGGUGUUGAUUUGCUAAGAGGCAGAGUCCCCAGAGUUGUUGGUAUCUCCCAGAGCUAGGGAGUGAGUAUUAGCUUUAGGGCUUAAGAUGGGAAGGCCAUAGCCCUGACUGGAACUUGGGAUAUCUGUGUCCAGAGCUUUAGUGUUGCUCUCUACUCCACCCACAUGCACUGUUCUCUUCUUCCUCUGGGAAGUCCAGGCUAGAGAGACAGAGCCUAUAAAGAGAAGAGCAGCCAGAGGCUCCAGGACCCAUCCAGGCACUGAUACAUACAGGAACAGCUGGGGUACAGGCACAUCUACAUCACACAGGUGCACACAAAGGGCAUAGGCAUACCCACACCACACAGGCACACACAUAGACUGCAAAGGAAUACACACAAUGCACAGGUAUACCCAUGUCACACAGGACGUAAAGUCAUCACAAGGGCACACCCAUUUGGCAUAUGUACAGUCUCAGGUGCAUAUCAGUCUCAGAACCUGGAUGUUGAUAUUGUGAAAGGAGAAUAAAUCUCAGAACCCCCAAAUCAUUCAACCAAGGGGAAAGUCAAGCUGGGAAUUGUGUCAGGCAAACCUGCCUCUUGUUUUAUUCCUAAAAGAGAUAGCUACAAAGAAAAAGCUACAUACCUCCCUCACAAUUUGUCCACAGGGAAAUUCCUUAUGGGCCUCAAGAUCUUUACCUUAAAACAGUUGUGCUGAAUUUCACCCUGGCAAUGUAAACUGAUAGCUUAUCUUCACAGGUGCAGGACAAUAGACAGAACUCAAAGUCAUCCCUCUGCUCACCUGAGACAAAUGUGUAUCUGAUUGCUGCUUCUGCCCUAUUGUUUAUGCAAAAAUGCAGAUCCACUGAGCCAGACUAAGGCAUCAGUGUGACUAUUCCUUUACUCCCCACUCCAUGUAAAUUGUGUAUUCAGUGAAAGGCUGAUCAAAGACCCCAAAAAAUGCAGCCUUUUGUCUCUUAUCUACCUAUGACCUGGAAGCCCCCACUUCGAGUUGUCCCGCCUUUCCAGACUGAACCAGUGUACACCUUACACGUAUUGAUUGAUGUCUCAUGUCUCCCCAAAAUGUAUAAAACCAAGCUGUGCACCGACCACCUUUAGCAUGUGUUGUCAGAACCUCCUGAGGCUGUAUCAUGUCAUGAGUGUGUGCUCAACCUUGGCAAAAUAAACUUUCUAAAUUGAUUGAGACCCAUCUCAGAUACUUUUGGAUUCACAACAUGAACUCAGCUUCCUUUACAGACCCCUGAGACCUGCACAUUGAUCCCUGCCAUGCCCCUCCGUACCGUUUAACCCCUGCCCCAUUUUACUCACUCAUGGCAAGAAAACCAAUAUGCUGAGAAGAGGAGUGUUGCCACACACACAAGAGGCCAUGGAGGAUGAGCAGAGAUGGACAAAUGAGGAGAGUCCCUGGGAGCAGCAGGUGUGCAUGGGUGUGCAGGAGUCCUUCUGCUUGUGUGGAGUCUGUGAGACUGUGUGUGAGGUUGGAUGGGGAGAGCAAGCAGGAGAGGGAUCAUGAUCAUGAGGGCGAGGGAGUCCUUGGAAGACUGAGGGUCCAUGAGUGUGUGUGGAUCUGUAGGAGGCUGUGGCUGUCUCCUAUUUAUGGCCCCCUAAAACUUUCAUUUUCUACGUUCAGAAACUUCCUUCCCUAAUGGUGUGUAAUAAAGAAUUUGACUGCCUUUUGUCCCUGGCUCCUGAGAGGGAGACUAAACCUUUGGAAUUUCCCAAGUAAUAGGAGUGUCUUUAUUACUCAUGAGCCCCUUGGAACACACCUGGGUUUAUGCUAAGAGAUGAGAUGGCUCAGGUUAGAGGUUGGUCACAGUAAAGACCAACCAUGUGAUUAGAGAGUUGAGACUUUGGGCCAGGCUGACCUCUGGGGAGGAAGGGGGCGCUGGAGAUUGAAUUCAGGUAUGUGGCCAAUAAUUCAAUUAUGCUGAUGUAAGGAAAUCUCAAAAAAAACUCUGGACACCAAAGCUCAUAAAACUUUCUGGUUGAUGAACACAUUGAUGUCCCAGGAGGCUGAUGCACCUUAUGUCUCCACAAGGAGAAACCACUGAGAGAAGCUCUGCAUUUGAGACCCUCCUAGACUUCAUCCUGUGUGUCUUUUCAUUUGGCUGUUUCUGAUUUAUACCCUUAAUAAACUAAUUAAACACAG